rnacentral:tRNA from 1 species
AGCUCAGUUGGUAGAGUGCUUGCUUCGCAUGCACAAGGCCCUGGGUUCAAUUCCCAG